AUUGAACGCUGGCGGCAGGCCUAACACAUGCAAGUCGAGCGAGCGGCGGGCGGGUGCGUACUGUCUGGGAAACUGCCUGAUAGCGGGGGAUCACUACUGGAAACGGUCGCUAAUACCGCAUACCAUCAGCUGUGCCCAGAGGGGAUUAGCUAGUAGGUGGGGUAACGGCCCACCUAGGCGACGAUCCCUAGCUGGUCUGAGAGGAUGACCAGCCACACUGGAACUGAGACACGGCCCAGACUCCUACGGGAGGCAGCAGUAGGGAAUAUUGCACAAUGGGCGAAAGCCUGACGCAGCCAUGCCGCGUGUGUGAAGAAGGCUUUCGGGUUGUAAAGCACUGUUAGCGGGGAGGCGGUACCCGCAGAAGAAGCACCGGCUAACUACGUGCCAGCAGCCGCGGUAAUAC
rnacentral:rRNA from 1 species